AGCAGCCGCCGCGGGAAUACAGAGGGUGCGAGCGUUAAUCGGAUUUACUGGGCGUAAAGCGUGCGUAGGCGGCUUCUUAAGUCGGAUGUGAAAUCCCUGAGCUUAACUUAGGAAUUGCAUUCGAUACUGGGAAGCUAGUGUAUGGGAGAGGAUGGUAGAAUUCCAGGUGUAGCGGUGAAAUGCGUAGAGAUCUGGAGGAAUACCGAUGGCGAAGGCAGCCAUCUGGCCUAAUACUGACGCUGAGGUACGAAAGCAUGGGGAGCAAACAGGAUUAGAUACCCCCGUAGUCCCUGUCUCUUAUAC
rnacentral:rRNA from 1 species